GCCUACUUUAUUGCAGAUGAACUGGAAGCUAUAGAAAUACCUUUUUUUGUUGGAAGAAAUGCAGCAGGAUGAACCACGACGCUCCUCCACAACAGUUCCCAAACUGGUCAACAUCUUUUUUUUUUCAAAAGAUCGUCUGCGCCUCUCUUUUAGUUGACGCCAUCUCUUCAGGUCCGGCCUUACAAGAGACUCAAGCACAGCUGUUCUUCGUUCUGCAUGCGCUUCAUAUGCCUCAAAAAAUUGUGAGGAUCUCUGCCUCCUGGCCAUGCUUGUACUGGCAGAGGUCCCCGGCUGCUCGUCUACAGAAGCACCUGCUGCCUGAGCUUGAGGAAGAGAGAUUGAUGGAGGCCUGUUUUGAGAAGGUGGAUCUUCCACACAUAGAGGAGUAGAGCAGAUAGUUCCAGGUGGUGCAGUUCCUAUUCCAGAGGACCCAAAUAGCUCAUCCAUUUGCUGCAGAAAAAGCACAAUGUGAUACGAAAGUGACUUUGUAAUAAGAUGCAAAAUGAUCUUAUACAGUGCAGUCUUAGACUUACUGUGUAGUACUCCCAGGUUUGCUUUCCCUCCCCAGUUGCACGGCGGCGAUCCUUAACUCUUUUUCUUAGGUGCCAUACCUUGUGAUUCAGGGCGGUCUAUCUGGACGGAGGAUGGGUUUCUGGCUCCUGAAGGAUUACCACCCACUGCAUCGGUUUUUAGGGUGGUAGUCGGUAGGUCCUGGCUAAUAGGUGUCUGUUGCACAGGGCACUGGCUGGUUGGUGGUUUCACAAAACUGAGAUUUAGGGGUACAGGUGACUCAGUGGAGGUAGAGGGACAUAGAGAAGGAGGUGGGGGAACACUGCAGCACAAGCUAGAUCGCUGAUACUGUAGGAGCUAUUUAGAGAGAAAGCUGAAAAUUUAGUUGUCACUUAUGUGUCCAGUAUGUGUUUGUUCAUCACAAGUGUUUAUCUUGUUUUGUGUCAACGGCUGUAACUUUUGCCAUGACAUCAGAGAGGAACAUCUGGGGAAAUACUCAAAACUAUCACACAGUCCUCUCUCUGGAACUUUCUUGAAGGUCUCCAUUGACUAUGCCUUUCUAAACUUGUUUUGUGAUUUGUUUUUAUUUUUGUCUUUGCAUUUAAGAAUUUAUAGCCAUUAGAAUGUUGCCUGUUGUUAAGAUACCUGUACCA